UGCCUUAGACAUCAACUAGUGUCCUGGGUCAUUGCACCUCCUGACCAAAGGAGGCGCUGCGACCAUUUAUGCUCGCCUGCUGUUCUGAACCCUUCAUACAACCUGGCACUUUGCUUUCACAUCCUAUUUGCGUUUGUGUGAGCUAGUGGGGACAGUCGGCGGCUAAAGAAGCUGACUCAGCGUGUCAAGUUAGAGGCGGUGUGAGUCAGCAAGGCAAAAGUAAGAACAACAAACGCAACACAACAGCUACCGCGGUCCUCUCACAGUAAUGUGAACAUGUCGCGGGCUUCGGAAUGCACAAACAGGUUGUCGCUGGGUCAGCGUGGCGUAGCGGAGGUGAUCCUAGACUGAGUCAGCGUGACGACACAGGUACACCUGCACAAUCAAAAACGGACACAGCUAAGAAUGGAAUGAAUAUGUAGAUUAUUGGUUUGCAUCGAUUGUGCCACUCUGAGAGCUGUCUGUAUUUUUUUGGGCUGGGGGGGGGGCGAGGUGUGACAAUAUGUGACUAUUUCACACAAACUACUCCCUGACUCAAUAUUAAUCGAAUUAUUAUCAUCGCACUGCGGGUGCUCUGCUGUCACCGUGGCAACGCUUUGAAGGAUUUCUGUUUCGGUAGAUGAUGCGGUCUAACCACUUCUUGAAGUGAAAAAUUUUAAAUGGUCAAAAUUUAAAUAUGUUUUGGUAGAACUGAAGAAAUACAUAUAGUGAUAAACAAUUCCAUUUCAAUUCUGGUUCAAUGAAAUGUCAACUUUAAACAACUUUUAUUACGUGUAGAAAAGCAAAAAUCACCAAUGCACUUUCUCAGCCAAACUUCAAAGACGGACUGUAAAAAAAUUAAAAUAAAUCAAGUUGACCCGCUCUAAGAAAAAGUAUCCCGAGAGCACUCCUAUGACGAUAAACAUCUCAGCUCUUAAUACUAUUUAUCCCCCCCCCCGUUUCAAGUGAGUGCAAACAUGUGCAAAGACUUCAAAUAAUCAGCGUCGAUCGUGAUUACGCAUUCGUGAAGCCUCAUCAGCUGGAUGUACAAAAAAGGGGAUUGAAAUGAU